UCAAUAACUCCGCCUGUAGCUCUAACAGGGUUACUGCCGGUCCCAAGCCCGGAUAAAGGAGGAGGGUUGG
rfam:Schistosoma mattheei strain Denwood, Zambia genome assembly, scaffold: SMTD_scaffold0005599